CAAAGGCCUGGUCCCGACUUUACUAUCAGCUUUAGCCCAACUUAUACAUGCAAGUAUCCGCACCCCUGUGAGAAUGCCCUCAUACCCCCGCCCGGAAACGAGGAGCCGGCAUCAGGCGCACCACCCCCGCCCAAGACGCCUUGCUUCGCCACACCCCCAAGGGAACUCAGCAGUAAUAGACAUUAAGCCAUAAGUGAAAACUUGACUUAGUCAGGGCUAAAAGGGCCGGUAAAACUCGUGCCAGCCACCGCGGUUAUACGAGAGGCCCUAGUUGAUAAACACGGCGUAAAGAGUGGUUAGGGAAAAACUUAAAUAAAGCCAAAGACCUACCAAGCCGUCGCACGCACCCUGGAAGCACGAAGCCCAAUAAUGAAAAUAGCUUUACCCCCCCCCCCCCCCCCCGACCCCACGAAAGCUAAGAAACAAACUGGGAUUAGAUACCCCACUAUGCUUAGCCCUAAACUCAGAUGAGGCAUUUACAAACCCAUCCGCCAGGGAACUACAAGCGCCAGCUUAAAACCCAAAGGACUUGACGGUGUCUCAGACCCACCUAGAGGAGCCUGUUCUAGAACCGAUAAUCCCCGUUCAACCUCACCACCCCUUGUCCCCUCCCGCCUAUAUACCGCCGUCGCAAGCUUACCCUGUGAAGGUUUAACAGUAAGCAAAAUGGGCAGACCCCAGAACGUCAGGUCGAGGUGUAGCUCACGAGGUGGAAAGAAAUGGGCUACAUUUUCUACCACAGAAAACUACGGACGACACCAUGAAACCGGUGUCCCAAGGUGGAUUUAGCAGUAAAAGACAAAUCAGAGCGUUUCUUUGAACCCGGCUCUGAGACGCGCACACACCGCCCGUCACUCUCCCCUACACCCUACACUUACGUAAAUAACAAACUAAACCAACACACGGGGAGGCAAGUCGUAACAUGGUAAGUGUACCGGAAGGUGCACUUGGAACAU
rnacentral:ncRNA from 1 species